rnacentral:rRNA from 1 species
CCUACGGGUGGCAGCAGUGGGGAAUAUUGCACAAUGGGGGAAACCCUGAUGCAGCAACGCCGCGUGAGUGAAGAAGGUUUUCGGAUUGUAAAGCUCUUUUAGCAGGGAAGAGGAAGGACGGUACCUGCAAAUGAAGCCACGGCAAACUACUUGCCAGCAGCCGCGGUAAUACGUAGGUGGCAAGCGUUGUUGGGAAUAACUGGGCGUAAAGGAGGCGUAGGGGGUUAAACAAGUUGGAUGUUAAUUAUAUAGGCUUAACCUGUAGAAAGCAUAUAAAACUGUUUAACUAGAGUGCAGGAGAGGUAAGUGGAAUUCUUGGUGUAGCGGUGAAAUGCGUAGAGAUUAGGAGGAACACUAGUGGCGAAGGCGACUUACUGGAAUGUAACUGACGCUGAGGCAUGAGAGCAUGGGGAGCAAACAGGAUUAGAUACCCUAGUAGUC